rnacentral:rRNA from 1 species
UAGCCGUAAACGAUACUCGCUAGGUGUCGGCCACGGUGCGACCGUUGUCGGUGCCGUAGGGAAGCCGUGGAGCGAGCCACCUGGGAAGUACGGCCGCAAGGCUGAAACUUAAAGGAAUUGGCGGGGGAGCACAACAACGGGUGGAGCUUGCGGUUUAAUUGGAUUCAACGCCGGAAAUCUUACCGGGACCGACAGCAACAUGAAGGCCAGGCUGAAGACUUUGCCGGAUUAGCUGAGAGGUGGUGCAUGGCGUAGUCGUG